CCUCUUCUAUAUAUAGGAAUCAUGAAUCAUUGUAAUAAAUACAACAUAUAACAAUCAAUAAUACAAUCAAUAUCUAUACAAUUCUCUAUUUCUCUUUAUACAUUAAAAUUUCUACAGUAACCAACUUGGACAUAGUCAUAGGAAGAUUGUCCAAUUGCAAAGUCGCUUUGGUAUUGAUGUCGAGAACUUGAAAUGCCCUUCUUUUGUUGCUUCUCAACCAACAAAGGUGGCACUUGACUAGAAAGCAAAAAGUGCUCCCUGAGUUUCUUUCUCAUCUUCCUCCACUCUGUUACCUUUUCUUGGCCUACCAACUUGUAAUUGUUUCCACCAAUCGGAGGCAUGACCUUUGAGGGUUUGAGAGACCAAUUUCACCUUUCUUGCUUCCGGCACAUCAUAACACAACAAAUGACUCUCGAUUGUAUUCAACCAUUCCUCAAACCAUCUUGAAUGUACUUCUAUGGAAUUCGGAAAACACUAAAUCCUUGACGGAGUCAUUCCACUUAAAAUCAAACUCGUGUGAAUAUGCUCUACAACCGAAGGUAUCAUCAAAUUAAUGAUCCUUGGAACCAUUACUUCCUUUGGAAAGAAGGUUCAAGCGUUGCACUUUUCCAACCAGGGUAGCUAUUUGUGAACUCAACUUUUCAAUCUCAUUCCGUUGAUUUUGGUUUCCAAUGUUCCUUUCAAUUGAGGGAUUCGUCUCGAUUUCUUCACCCAAAUUCAGAGCAUAAGCCCUACCACGGCCACCCUUACAACCUCUACCUCUUUGAGCCAUUGACACAAAACAGCUCAAUUUUCAAAAUCACAACAAUACUAGAUCAGUGAGCAUUUCUCAACAGUCCCAGCUUAAUCAACCAAUUUCAUAGACUCCAGUGAAGCCACACACAUUAUUGCAACGUUCCAAGCCAAAGAAAAAUGGACCAGGAACAAAGAUUGAGUUCCAGCCAAGAAUCAAGAAUGCAGAAAUUCAAGAAUCAAGAAUCAAACAAUCAAGAUUCAAUAUCAACUGAUAUGAAUAGACUUGAUUCACAGAAAUUGGUCAAAAACAGUUGCAAACAAGGUUGUUAAAAUCGCGAUCCGGAUUGUAGGAUCGUACGAUCCUACGAUCCAUUUUUAGAGAAUCGAUCCAAAUCGCAUGCUGAAUCGUAUUUUGCUCAGGAUCGGAACAGGAUCGUUAGGAUCGUUAAUGGGAUACGAUCCUACUUUUGUCUCUUUUCUGAUGCUUUUAUUACAGGUUUGAUGCACCUUCUCUCUCUUCUAAACACUUACGACAUAAGAUUAGGGCAAAAUAUUGGGGGAAAAUUGCUGAGCAGCCUCCAUCCAGCCUCCAUCCAGAUUCCAGCUCCAGAUAGCACCAAGGAAAAGUGCGCAGAAACAUACCAGUGUACCACCAAGGAAAAGUGCAGCUUCAUUUUAUACAGGUUUGUCAAUUGAGUUAAAAAUGUCUGCCUCUGGUUCUGGAAGAGGGAGGAAGAGGAAAAAUGUUGCGGGUAACCGAACGGAUCCUGGUUGGGAACAUGGAAUUGAAAUAGAUGCUGCAACCAAAAAGGUACAAUACAAGUAUUGUAAUGUGACUCGAUCGGGAGGUAUAUAUAGAUUAAAACAUCAUUUAGCUUGUACUCAUCAAAAUGUUGAGCCAUGUCCUCAAGUCCCAGAAGAUAUUAGAGGAAAGUUUAUGAGUCUUUUAAGAACUCAAACAUUAGAGUCUCAAAAUAAAAAGAGAAAGAUGUUUGAUGUUGGUGAUGAUUCUGAAGAGGAGGUGGAACUAUUAGCAUAUCAUCAUCAAAACAAACAAAAACGGGUGGGUGCCAUAGAUAAAUUUGUGAUGAAGAAAUCUGGACGUCAAAAUCAA